AUGCGCUUAAACGCAUGGGUGAAAUUUAUACUCAUAAAUUAACAUGGCAAUGGCUGUACCCCAUGAAUUGGAUAUUCUCGUUAACGUCAACAGGCAGAGAGGAAGCCAAGGUUCUGAAAAUAUUACAUGGAUUUACUGAAAAGAUUAUUGCCGAGA